AUUGAACGCUGGCGGCAUGCUUUACACAUGCAAGUCGAACGGUAACAGGUCUUCGGAUGCUGACGAGUGGCGAACGGGUGAGUAAUGUAUCGGAACGUGCCCAGUAGUGGGGGAUAACUACUCGAAAGAGUGGCUAAUACCGCAUGAGAACUGAGGUUGAAAGCGGGGGACCUUCGGGCCUCGCGCUACUGGAGCGGCCGAUAUCAGAUUAGGUAGUUGGUGGGGUAAAGGCCUACCAAGCCGACGAUCUGUAGCUGGUCUGAGAGGACGACCAGCCACACUGGGACUGAGACACGGCCCAGACUCCUACGGGAGGCAGCAGCGGGGAAUUUUGGACAAUGGACGCAAGUCUGAUCCAGCAAUGCCGCGUGCAGGACGAAGGCCUUCGGGUUGUAAACUGCUUUUGUACAGAACGAAAGGGACGUCUGGUUAAUACCUGGGGCAGAUGACGGUACUGUAAGAAUAAGACACCGGCUAACUACGUGCCAGCAGCCGCGGUAA
rnacentral:rRNA from 1 species